rnacentral:misc_RNA from 1 species
AAGGAUCAUUAAUGAAUAACUUUGGCGUGGUUGUAGCUGGUUCUUAGGAGCAUGUGCACACCCGUCAUCUUUAUCUUUCCACCUGUGCACAACGUGUAGAUCUGGAUAACUCUCGCUCCUCUUGUAGGGGCGGAAACAGGGAUUGCUGCGUCGCAAGGCCAGCUCUCCUUGAAUUUCCAGGUCUAUGUCUUUACAAACCCCAAUUGAAUGAUGAAGAAUGUAGUCAAUGGGCUCUAAGCCUAUAAAACAAAAUACAACUUUCAGCAACGGAUCUCUUGGCUCUC